rnacentral:lncRNA from 1 species
GUCCAUGAAACUUUGGUGAAUUUUUAUGUCUAUUGAUGUAAGCUCCCUUUCAAUUUUUAUAAAUUUCAGAUUUUAAGUUUUGGAUUUAUGGGGCUUUAUUCAUAAAAAAAAGGUGGAUUUUCAACACUUCGGACAAUAACUCAAAAAGGCUUUCACCAAUGUCCAUGAAACUUUGGUGAAUUGUUUAAGCUCCCUUUCAAUUUUUAUAAAUUUCAGAUUUUAAGUUUUGGAUUUAUGGGGCUUUAUUCAUAAAAAAAGGGGGAUUUUCAACACUUCGGACAAUAACUCAAAAAGGCUUUCACCAAUGUCCAUGAAACUUUGGUGAAUUGUUUAUAUCUAUUGAUGUAAGCUCCCUUUCAAUUUUUAUAAAUUUCAGAUUUUACAUUUCCGUGU